rnacentral:rRNA from 1 species
GACUUCGGUCCCCUGAAGGUCCGUCGAAGACUACGACGUUGAUAGGCAGGAUGUGUAAGCACAGCAAUGUGUUCAGCUAACCUGUACUAAUUGACCGUGAGGCUUGACCAUAAAA